rnacentral:tRNA from 1 species
GCCGCGAUGGUGGAAUGGUAGACACGCUAGACUCAAAAUCUGGUGCCAGUAAUGGUGUGCCGGUUCAAGUCCGGCUCGCGGUACCA